rnacentral:rRNA from 1 species
GCAGUCGUACGAGAAAGUCCGCUUCGGUGGAUGAGUAAAGUGGCGCACGGGUGAGUAACGCGUGGAUAAUCUACCCUUUAGUCUGGAAUAACUUAUCGAAAGGUGAACUAAUACCGGAUAAUAUCCCGAUUUCUUCGGCGAUCGGGAUCAAAGAAGGCCUCUGCUUGCAAGCUUUCACUGAAGGAUGAGUCCGCGUACCAUUAGCUAGUUGGCAGGGUAAUGGCCUACCAAGGUUAUGAUGGUUAGCUGGUCUGAGAGGAUGAUCAGCCACACUGGAACUGAAACACGGUCCAGACUCCUACGGGAGGCAGCAGUGAGGAAUAUUGCGCAAUGGGGGCAACCCUGACGCAGCAACGCCGCGUGAGUGAGGAAGGUUUUCGGAUUGUAAAGCUCUGUCGAGCGGAAAGAAGUGCAUGGUGGUUAAUAUCCAUCAUGCUUGACGGUACCGCUAAAGGAAGCACCGGCUAACUCCGUGCCA